AAGUGCCUUGACCUCGAUAUUUUUGGGUCUCUUCAUUUGCUAAAGAGGUCAGGGUGAAAGGGUGAGUUUGUUUAUCCCGAGCUCAGCACUGCUGAGGACCUGGCUGGCUCUUUGUGCUGAGUCACGGCCCGCUGGCCGCCUGCGCUGUCCAAGCCCCGGGAACCUUUCUGUCCCAGUUCACAUCCUCGCAGUCCCGCUGGCCUUGGCAGGCUGGCGAGGCUGCACCGUGCUCCCAUCACUAUCUUCUAAAUGGCCUGGAUGUGGCUGUGCCUGAGCACUGGCUAACGAUGCCUCACUGCCCAGCCCAGGAUUUCUUGGAUCCAGACAGGACUUGCUGCUGAGAGCUCAGGCAGAUGAAAGUGGGCGUUGAGGUGAAGAAAUAAUCCUGUUGGAGGGUGCUGAGCUGAUCCCAGCCAGCCUGGUGUUCCUGGUACAUCCCACAUGGCCUGUUGGAAGAGCUGCUGUCCCAGACUGGGCUCGAGCUGCUUGCACUGGAAUUCACGUUGUUUUCUGUUGUCUCACAAGGACAGAUCCCCUUGUAGCACUGUAGUGUUUAUUUUACAAUUCCCAAAGCUGUG